UAAAGCGAGCGCAGACGGUUACUUAAGCAGGAUGUGAAAUCCCCGGGCUCAACCUGGGAACUGCGUUNUGAACUGGGUGACUAGAGUGUGUCAGAGGGAGGUAGAAUNCCACGUGUAGCAGUGAAAUGCGUAGAGAUGUGGAGGAAUACCGAUGGCGAAGGCAGCCUCCUGGGAUAACACUGACGUUCAUGCUNGAAAGCGUGGGUAGCAAACAGGAUUAGAUACCCUGGUAGUNCACGCCCUAAACGAUGUCAAUUAGCUGUUGGGCAACUUGAUUGCUUAGUAGCGUAGCUAACGCGUGAAAUUGACCGCCUGGGGAGUACGGUCGCAAGAUUAAAACUCAAAGGAAUUGACGGGGACCCGCACAAGCGGUGGAUGAUGUGGAUUAAUUCGAUGCAACGCGAAGAACCUUACCUGGUCUUGACAUGUACGGAAUCCUCCAGAGACGGGGGAGUGCCUUCGGGAGCCGUAACACAGGUGCUGCAUGGCUGUCGUCAGCUCGUGUCGUGAGAUGUUGGGUUAAGUCCCGCAACGAGCGCAACCCUUGUCAUUAGUUGCCAUCAUUUAGUUGGGCACUCUAAUGAGACUGCCGGUGACAAGCCGGAGGAAGGUGGGGAUGACGUCAAGUCCUCAUGGCCCUUAUGACCAGGGCUUCACACGUCAUACAAUGGUCGGUACAGAGGGUAGCCAAGCCGCGAGGUGGAGCCAAUCUCACAAAACCGAUCGUAGUCCGGAUUGCACUCUGCAACUCGAGUGCAUGAAGUCGGAAUCGCUAGUAAUCGCAGGUCAGCAUACUGCGGUGAAUACGUUCCCGGGUCUUGUACACACCGCCCGUCACACCAUGGGAGUGGGGGAUACCAGAAGUAGGUAGGG
rnacentral:rRNA from 1 species